CGCUGAAAAAAACUUCAAAUAAAAAUAUUUUGAAAUAGUUGCAUUUUGUGCUACUUACUUGCAAUAUACGAACCUUAAAGCAGUCGCUAAAUUUUUAACGAUUCAAAAUUAAAAAAUUAACUGAACAGAAACGCAAUAGAAUAACAACAAUGCAUCACCCUUCUUUUUUUGCUUCUAUACUUUUAGUGAGUACCGCUAGUUUAAAAUGUACUUGACCUUCUUUCUAUUGUUAUCGAUAAUAUAGUGUCCGGUGAUGUAAAAAAAUACACACUUUUACAGAAAUGAUUUCAUCAACUCAAUAAUUCUUAUAUUGUUGUGAUUUUUAUUUUCAUAUUUGUACGACGUAUGUUAGAAAAUACGUGGUUUUAUUGUAUCGCUAUCGCACUCCUAACUAUCAGCGCAUGUUCAGCAAAAUUGGUCUCCCUUGCACAAAAUCGCGUUCGUUCUAUUUACUCGCACACAUUGAUAUUAUAUACGAGUACAUAUGCCAAGAAACUGUUUACACACUGUGAAAAAAUUUGACUUUUUGACUUUAAAGGUAAAAAUAAA